rnacentral:lncRNA from 1 species
AUCUGCUAAUGGAAAUAAAUCUUACCUUAUCCUCCUGCUAUCUUAUCUGUUCAGAUAAUAAGUUCUGGGAACAAGACUGUCACUUAAAAAAGUCUGGAAAUCCUAUUGCAUCCUGUUGA